rnacentral:rRNA from 1 species
AGUGAACGCUGGCGGUAGGCCUAACACAUGCAAGUCGAACGGCAGCACAGUAAGAGCUUGCUCUUACGGGUGGCGAGUGGCGGACGGGUGAGGAAUACAUAGGAAUCUACUUUUUCGUGGGGGAUAACGUAGGGAAACUUACGCUAAUACCGCAUACGACCUACGGGUGAAAGCAGGGGAUCUUCGGACCUUGCGCGAUUGAAUGAGCCGAUGUCGGAUUAGCUAGUUGGCGGGGUAAAGGCCCACCAAGGCGACGAUCCGUAGCUGGUCUGAGAGGAUGAUCAGCCACACUGGAACUGAGACACGGUCCAGACUCCUACGGGAGGCAGCAGUGGGGAAUAUUGGACAAUGGGCGCAAGCCUGAUCCAGCCAUACCGCGUGAGUGAAGAAGGCCUUCGGGUUGUAAAGCCCUUUUGUUGGGAAAGAAAAGCAGCAGGUUAAUACCCCGCUGUUCUGACGGUACCCAAAGAAUAAGCACCGGCUAACUUCGUG